UGUCAAACCUGUUUUGCCAUAUGGCAUCUGACAUAGUCCCGGUGAGAGGGGUUUGUGAGAAAUGUCAUACCUUAACUCGUGGUAUCAGAAAGCAGGUGUCGGUACCAGAUGAAUCAGCGUCCAUAACGAGUCUUAUGUCUUUACUGGUUGUUAACUGAACAGACAAGCAAAGGAUGGAGAUACUGGUGACUAAUUACGGUUGUUUGAUAACCCGAGUCCCGCUUGAUUGAAAUACUAUUCCUACCAAGAGGACUUGCAAAGAGAUAUCAGUAGCAAGAAAUCACGAAAAGUUCAGUGGAUUAGAAGAGUUGGAUGUGCUUUAUCUACAGGGAUCUAAACUGCCUGCUAAAAAACACCGAUAGCAGCGAGUGUACUAUUUAACUACAGAUUGUCUGUUUUGUGUGCUAUGAACCAUAUUGUCCGCCAGUUACCAGACAUGACGACAUUUUGCAGAUUAUUUGGAAUUGUUUAUAUGAUAAACCUCCGAAACUUAUAUUGACUGUGGCCUCACUGGUAGUCGUCCUCGAGGAGGGAAAAUUGGCUUGCUUAACUGUCCUUCGAAACAACGGUCACAAACCAACCUUUCAUGUUUUCUUCAGAUUGUUUAUUUUGCAAAUAUUUCACGGUCAAUAUAUAAUAUUCAAAUGCAUUUUUGUAUACUUAUUAGUUGUCAUAAAGGUAUACUAUAUAUAUACAUUUAUAUAUAAUACAUACUAGUCAUCUAUUCGCGCCGGUUCAGUGAAAACUCGAGACUACUCUGCACUUGCCUUUGAACACAGGUUUCCGGAGACUCCGGUUUUUCCUGGGCGGCGGUUUUAGUCGAUGACAGUGUACAGAGAUAAUUAAGACUAGGUAACUCACAAAGGGAGUUACACCCCUGUCUGAUUAAGACGAUGUAGGCUGUAUAACCUCAGAAAUGUGUUAUCAGAUUUGCAUUUCAUAUUAAACCUCAGAAAUGUGUUGUUACAUGCUGAAUGCAAUUAACAUAGUUUAUAGAAUAAAUUGGACACGUCAGUGAAUGCAGCUGAUAUA
rnacentral:lncRNA from 1 species